CAUUAUAUACAGUUAUUUAGCACCUUGAGAAUCUUGUCUGAUAUUGGAGGUUAAGCAUGUUUGGACCUGGUUAGUACCGGGAUGAGAAACUUGGGAAUACCAGGUGUUGUAGUGG
rnacentral:rRNA from 1 species